CUUACGUCAGCGGUGGUGCCACUAAACUUGCUAGCUGCCCAAAUUGUGUUUCUUCAUAACAGUAGGUACACGGAACCGAAGACCUGGCAGUUGUAUGGGUAUUUAGUAGACUGAAUAUUGCGAGUGUCAAGAGGAUCGCAUUGCGGGAAAGGACCUUAACGUUUCACCCUCAGAAGAUUGACACUUUGAGGAGGAAGAGCAGAAUACGGGUCUUGGCGAGAAGUAAUUGCUGGCUCUAAAUCUUGUCAGCACAUUUUAUUGGACCUGUGUUCGAGGCUACGCCACUCAGCCUUAUCACAAUGUGUUAAUUCCCUCGGACCUUAUCCAAAAAAUACUAUUGCCAAUAGGAUCUAGUUCUUGACUAUAAAUCUAUACCUCCGACAUUGUGUUAGCGCUUUUUUUUUUUAAUUCUAUUACCAAGCCAAAUUGUACUCCUAAUGUUAUAGUCCCUUAGAUUCUCUGAAACAUCUUUUCGGUUUCCUUUCUUUAUUCCAUUAUAAUUAAAUGACUUAAGAGAUCUGAA